GAAAUGAUGCGCUGCCCCGCUGGCGGUGCGGAAGUGGAGAUGGCGGAGCUGUACGUGAAGCCCGGUGAGCACGGCCGGCGGGCUGGUGGUACUCGUCCUCUCCCGUCCCCUCAACCCCAGUGUAUCCUCCGUUAGUCUGUUGGGCUCCGGGCCUCGUUUCACACACUUCCUCGCCUUCGCAGGCAACAAGGAACGCGGCUGGAACGACCCGCCACAAUUCUCCUACGGGCUCCAGACUCAGACUGGUGGACCCAAACGCACUCCCCUUACUAAGAGGGUCGCGGCCCCACAGGAUGGAUCCCCUAGAGCCCCAGAAACUUCUGGACCACCUCCAGUGGAUCAUCCACCUCCUUCAAGUAAGGCUUCCAGGCCUCCGCCCAUGGGGAGCUGUCCUGCUACUGGUGUGGAGCCCCCAAGUUCCCCAGUCAUUGAGUCUGAAACUCUGAUAGAAGACGUGCUGAGACCUCUGGAACAGGCAUUGGAGGACUGCCAUGGUCACACAAAGAAACAGGUAUGUGAUGAUAUCAGCCGACGCUUGGCGCUGCUUCGAGAACAGUGGGCUGGAGGGAAGUUGUCAAUACCUGUAAAGAAGAGGAUGGCACUGCUAGUGCAAGAACUUUUACAUCACCAGUGGGAUGCAGCAGAUGACAUUCACCGAUCACUCAUGGUUGACCAUGUGACUGAGGUCAGUCAGUGGAUGGUGGGAGUAAAAAGAUUAAUUGCAGAAAAGAAGAGUCUAUCUUCAGAGGAGACCAAAGAAGAGAAAUUUACAGUGGAACCUGAGAACCAGACAAUACCAGGCUUCCAACAGCCAUCAUAAUGCCUGUGGCUCCCCAGACUCACUUCACCUGACUUCCUAUGCCUUAGUGUGGAAGGCUUCUUCUUCCUUUUUACCACCAGGGAGACUAUUGGUCUUGUGGGUCUUGACCAAAGAUCCUAUCUAGACCACUGCAAGAUCACUUGUUAUGUACAUUUCAAUAAACAUCUCAAUAAACAUCUCAAUGGUGGGAAGUGGGUAGGAAAGAUGAGCCAUUCUGAUGUCAGACUGGUUCUUUGUGGUGUCAGCUUCCCUGCUCCAUGGACACUA